ACGUGCACGGUGUGGGGGAGAGAGCGCGCGAGAGAGUGACAACGGAGCUGCUGAACUAACAAGUACGACCUGUUCUUCAAUUAGUGUAACGAAGCUAAUUAGGUGUUCAACCCGAACCCUGUGUAGUGAUAGUUUCCGUGCAGAGUUGGAAACACAUCAGAAAGACGUGGACAUCGCCUCUGACGAACGGAGAUUUAAGUUGCGGUUUACCUCGCCAUGUGCAGAGGCUUUGCUAAUAGACCGGCGGAUAGCUAGCUCAACUCGCAGGGACUACGUGUGGCGAAGGAGUACCCCUUGAAGCAUCCAAGCUCUGUCUGUGUUUCACAUCGACCCUUUUUUUCUGUCUGACGCGUGCACGGUGUGCAAACAAACUUCAUACAAGCUGGAUAAAAAACUGUAUGUAAACAUCCUUCUGCAAGUCACAAUGUGCAGGAAGACUUCAGACAAUGCAUAUGAGCACCGAGAUGGAUGUACUACACGAAAAAAUAAAACAGUGUUUUACUUUA